UACGGGGGGGGCAAGCGUUGUUCGGAAUUACUGGGCGUAAAGGGCUCGUAGGCGGCCAACUAAGUCGGAUGUGAAAUCCCCAGGCUCAACCUGGGAACUGCAUCCGAUACUGGAUGGCUUGAAUCCGGGAGAGGGAUGCAGAAUUCCAGGUGUAGCGGUGAAAUGCGUAGAUAUCGAGAGGAACACCUGCGGCGAAGGCGGGUAGCUGGGCCGACACUGACGCUGAGGCGCGAAAGCCAGGGGAGCGAACGGG
rnacentral:rRNA from 1 species